rnacentral:ncRNA from 1 species
UUAAUUUAUUAAAUGAUUUAUAUGUAAUUUUGUAAAUAUUUUAUUAUACAGUAAAUAUAAUUGUGUUAGUUAAUUAUUAUUAAUCUGCAGUAAUUUAAUUGUAAUGGAUAAAUUUUGUGCCAGCAUUCGCGGUUAUACAAUUCAUUAAAAUUAAUAUUUUAUUUUUAUUAAUUAUUUAUAAGUUGAUUAGUAGUUAAUUUUAUUUAGGUGGAAUUUAUAUUAUUUAUUUUAAUCUAUAUUUAAGUUUAUUAAAUCAAGAUUUUAAACUAGGAUUAGAUACCCUAUUAUUUUUGUACCUAAUACUUAUUGUUGAAUAUUAAUAGGUAUGUUCUAUUAAACUCAAAGAAUUUGGCGGUAAUUUAUAUCUUUUUAGAGGAACCUGUAAUUUAAUUGAUAAACCACGAUAUUUUUUACCUUUAUAUUAUUUGUAUACCUCUAUAAUUAAGAGUGUUAUUUAAAUAUAUUUUCUUUAAUUUUAUUAAUUUAUAUUAGGUCAAGGUGCAGUUUUUUGAAGGUAAUUUUGGGUUACAUUAAUAUUAAAAUUUAGAUUGGAUAUUGUUCCUUUCUUUAGGAGUAUGUUGAAAUAGGAUUUAAUAGUAAUGUUGUAUAAUUAUUCAUCUUGAAUUUAGUUUUAAUUUAUGUACAUAUCGCCCGUCACUCUCUUUAAAAUGGGAUAAGUCGUAACAAAGUAGGUGUACCGGAAGGUGCAGCUAGAAAGU